rnacentral:rRNA from 1 species
CCUACGGGUGGCAGCAGUGAGGAAUAUUGGUCAAUGGCCGGGAGGCUGAACCAGCCAAGUCGCGUGAGGGAAGACGGCCCUACGGGUUGUAAACCUCUUUUGUCAGGGAGCACGGUGCAGGUCGGGACCUGCUGUGAGAGUACCUGUAGAAAAAGCAUCGGCUAACUCCGUGCCAGCAGCCGCGGUAAUACGGAGGAUGCGAGCGUUAUCCGGAUUUAUUGGGGUUAAGGGGUGCGCAGGCGGAGGCACAAGUCAGCGGUAAAUCGCGGGGCUCAACCCCGGUCCGCCGUUGAAACUGUGGACCUUGAGUGCGCGAAGGGUAGGCGGAAUGCGAGGUGUAGCGGUGAAAUGCAUAGAUAUCACGAAGAACACCGAUCGCGAAGGCAGCCUACCGGCGCGCAACUGACGCUCAUGCACGAAAGCGUGGGCAUCGAACAGGAUUAGAUACCCGGGUAGUC